AUUGAACGCUGGCGGCAGGCCUAACACAUGCAAGUCGAGCGGAUGAAGGGAGCUUGCUCCUGGAUUCAGCGGCGGACGGGUGAGUAAUGCCUAGGAAUCUGCCUGGUAGUGGGGGAUAACGUCCGGAAACGGGCGCUAAUACCGCAUACGUCCUGUGGGAGAAAGUGGGGGAUCUUCGGACCUCACGCUAUCAGAUGAGCCUAGGUCGGAUUAACUAGUUGGUGGGGUAAAGGCCUACCAAGGCGACGAUCCGUAACUGGUCUGAGAGGAUGAUCAGUCACACUGGAACUGAGACACGGUCCAGACUCCUACGGGAGGCAGCUGUGGGGAAUAUUGGACAAUGGGCGAAAGCCUGAUCCAGCCAUGCCGCGUGUGUGAAGAAGGUCUUCGGAUUGUAAAGCACUUUAAGUUGGGAGGAAGGGCAGUAAGUUAAUACCUUGCUGUUUUGACGUUACCAACAGAAUAAGCACCGGCUAACUUCGUG
rnacentral:rRNA from 1 species